ACGGGGCGCAGCAGGCGCGAAAACUUCGCAAUGCGCGAAAGCGCGACGAGGGGAUUCCAAGUGCAUGCACUUAGUGCAUGCUGUUUGCUAGUCCAAAUAGCUAGUAGAGUAAGGGCUGGGUAAGACUGGUGCCAGCCGCCGCGGUAAUACCAGCGGCCCGAGUGGUGAUCGUUAUUAUUGGGUCUAAAGCGUCCGUAGCCGGCCCGGUAAAUCUCUGGGUAAAUCGUUGGGCUCAACCCAGCGAAUUCUAGGGAGACUGCCGGGCUUGGGACCGGGAGAGGUCGGAGGUACUCCGAGGGUAGGGGUGAAAUCCUGUAAUCCUUGGGGGACCACCGGUGGCGAAGGCGUCCGACCAGAACGGGUCCGACGGUAAGGGACGAAGCCCUGGGGCGCGAACCGGAUUAGAUACCCGGGUAGUCCAGGGUGUAAACGCUGUGCGCUUGGUGUUGGGGGUCCUUUGAGGGCAUCCAGUGCCGGAGAGAAGUUGUUAAGCGCACCACCUGGGGAGUACGGUCGCAAGACUGAAACU
rnacentral:rRNA from 1 species